rnacentral:rRNA from 1 species
UACGUAGGGUGCAGAGUCGUCGAUUGAAUCUGGGCGUAAAGCGUGCGCAGGCGGUCGAUCAAGUCGAGUGUGAAAGCCCCCGGCUCAACUGGGGAGGUCAGUCGAUACUGAUCGACUCGAAGGCAGGAGAGGGUAGUGGAAUUCCCGGUGUAGUGGUGAAAUGCGUAGAUAUCGGGAGGAACACCAGUGGCGAAGGCGACUACCUGGCCUGUUCUUGACGCUGAGGCGCGAAAGCGUGGGGAGCGAACAGG